rnacentral:lncRNA from 1 species
GCGCAUUAUGCUGGUCUCCAUGGCGGGGCCUCGGAGCCAAGACGAGAGAAAAUGCUGCUGUGAAGACCCAAUUAAAGCUUUCACAUAAAUGAAGCUACAGCUAUCAUGAUUUAGUGCCCCCAAAAGGAAGAACUUCAGUGGACAAGAAAGGACAUUUCUGGGGGUAGUAGAAUGCUUGAGGCCUGGAAUUUAAACCUGAGCCACUAUCUGAAGGUUUAAUAUAUCUUUGCCAAGUCCAAGGGUACAAAGAUUUUCUCCUGUGUUUUCUUCUAGAAGUUUUAUCAUUUGAUAGUCUGUGAUCCAUUUCAAGUUGAUUUGCUAUCUGGUGUGAGCUAUUAAAUAAUAGAAGAAAAUGGAAUUGAAUAUGAUGUCAGCAUGGAACAAUCUAAUGAUUCAUUAAGAGUCAACCAUAAUGACGGUGAAGAGUCAAAAACCAGUGCUCAAGUAUUUGAGCAUCUAAUCUGUAUGGACUCCAGGGAUUCUUCCUUUGGACAAAAUGAUUCUCCUACAGUUUUGCCCAUCACUACUCGUGAAGCAAAUAAUUCACUCAUAUCACAGAAUAUACCAGGGCCCCUGACUCAGACACAGACUCUUU